rnacentral:rRNA from 1 species
CGGUUUAAAUUCCCUUGUUGUCCCCCCCGUAAACGAUGAGUUUUAAGUUUUAGGGGGUUUCCGCCCUUUAGUGGUGCAGAUAACGCAUUAAGCACUCCGCGUGGGGAGUACGGUCGCAAGACUGAAACUCAAAGGAAUUGACGGGGGCCCGCACAAGCGGUGGAGCAUGUGGUUUAAUUAGAAGCAACGAGAAGAACCUUACCAGGUCUUGACAUCCUGUGACAAUCCUAGAGAUAGGACUUCCCCUUCGGGGGCAGAGUGACAGGUGGUGCAUGGUGUCGUCAGCU